AGUAGAAUGUCUUGGUGGCCAGGAGUCUCCAUUGUCUCCAUUGUGAAUGCUAAGGAACCCCUGAAUUAGAAUCAGUUUCCUAAGGUUAAUCCCAAUCCCCGUUUCCCCUCCCCCAUACUCAAAUAUCCCCAAUUACCCCAAGAGUUUGGGGUGCACAGCUUUUCAGUGCCGCUUUGAUAUUUUGUAGCUGGGUGAUGCUUUUGCUAAAAGUAUCAUGGCCUACAGAGACGCUUCAGAGAGUGGCAUGGGCAUCUGGAGUCUGUACUAUCCUCUCAGAUCACAUUUGUGAAGCCUUGCUGACAUUUCUCUCAGAUGUGAUGACCCCCAAUUUGCCAAACUGUCAGAAGUCAGUGAAGCGAAGAAUUGAAGGUACAGCGUUCAUUCAGAGAUUGUUGGCCCCGAGUCCCACAUCCUGCCUCCGAGAUGGAACUUUGGAAAGCAUAUAUAUUGAAGAUUCGUUUGACUCUUUUAUACGUGCAAUUUUUAAAUUUCAUUCCUAGACUUGGUUUUAUGGGAAAAGGAAAUUUUCAUCUCUAUUUCAUUGUGUUUUGUCUGUCUGAUUUAACUGACAGAUUAAAAGAGUCCCAGCCUCUCCGGAUUUACUUUGCCAUAAUGUGACAGGUAAGUAAGAGCAACCCACCUCUUAAUUGGGAUUCCCCCCCCCCCCAAAUAAAUGAAUGGCUUUUG
rnacentral:lncRNA from 1 species